GCGGCCUAUCAGCUUGUUGGUGAGGUAAUGGCUCACCAAGGCGACGACGGGUAGCCGGCCUGAGAGGGCGACCGGCCACACUGGGACUGAGACACGGCCCAGACUCCUACGGGAGGCAGCAGUGGGGAAUAUUGGGCAAUGGACGAAAGUCUGACCCAGCGACGCCGCGUGAGGGAUGAAGGCCUUCGGGUUGUAAACCUCUUUCAGCAGGGAAGAAGCGAAAGUGACGGUACCURCAGAAGAAGCACCGGCUAACUAUGUGCCAGCAGCCGCGGUAAUACAUAGGGUGCAAGCGUUGUCCGGAAUUAUUGGGCGUAAAGAGCUCGUAGGUGGUUYGUUACGUCGGAUGUGAAAAUCUGGGGCUCAACCCCUGACCUGCAUUCGAUACGGGCRAGCUAGAGUUUGGUAGGGGAGACUGGAAUUCCU
rnacentral:rRNA from 1 species